GAAAUGCGAUAAGUAGUGUGAAUUGCAGAAUUCAGUGAAUCAUCGAAUCUUUGAACGCACAUUGCGCCCCUUGGUAUUCCAUGGGGCAUGCCUGUUCGAGCGUCAUUUGUACCCUCAAGCUCUGCUUGGUGUUGGGUGUUUGUCCCGUCUCCGCGCGUGGACUCGCCCCAAAGUGAUUUGCAGCCGGCGUACUGGUCCCGGAGCGCAGCACAUGUCGCGCAAACGAGUGCCUUGGUACGGCGGCGUCCAUAAGCCCCUCUCUCACGCUCUUGACCUCGGAUCAGGUAGGGAUACCCGCUGAACUUAAGC
rnacentral:misc_RNA from 1 species